GUCUAGGACCCCUGGGUGGUCACGCAGAUCCCGGAUGAGCCCCCACCUGAAAGACCCCUGAAGGGAGUCAAGUCAAGUCUCAGGAAUAGUGCGCACCUAGCGAGACACUGAGACCG
rnacentral:pre_miRNA from 7 species